rnacentral:rRNA from 1 species
GACGAACGCUGGCGGCGUGCUUAACACAUGCAAGUCGAACGGUGAAGCGCUUUCCUUUUUGGUUGGUGUGGAUGAGUGGCGAACGGGUGAGUAACACGUGAGUAACCUGCCCCCUUCUUCUGGAUAACCGCAUGAAAGUGUGGCUAAUACGGGAUAUUCUGCGCCUGCUGCAUGGUGGGUGUGGGAAAGAUUGUGCCUUUGGGUGUUUUCGGUGGGGGAUGGGCUCGCGGCCUAUCAGCUUGUUGGUGGGGUGAUGGCCUACCAAGGCGGUGACGGGUAGCCGGCCUGAGAGGGUGGACGGUCACACUGGGACUGAGACACGGCCCAGACUCCUACGGGAGGCAGCAGUGGGGAAUAUUGCACAAUGGGCGCAAGCCGGAUGCAGCGACGCCGCGUGAGGGAUGGAGGCCUUCGGGGUGUGAACCUCUUUCGCCAGUGAAGCAGGCCUGCUCCUUGUGGGUGGGUUGACGGUAGCUGGAUAAGAAGCGCCGGCUAACUACGUG